UCCGGUUUGUCACCGGCAGUCUCACUAAAGUGCCCAACUAAAUGCUGGCAAUUAGUGACAAGGGUUGCGCUCGUUGCGGGACUUAACCCAACAUCUCACGACACGAGCUGACGACAGCCAUGCAGCACCUGUGUCCAGGCUCCCUUUCGGGCACACCCGCCUCUCAGCAGGCUUCCUGGCAUGUCAAGGGUAGGUAAGGUUUUUCGCGUUGCAUCGAAUUAAUCCACAUCAUCCACCGCUUGUGCGGGUCCCCGUCAAUUCCUUUGAGUUUUAACCUUGCGGCCGUACUCCCCAGGCGGUCAACUUCACGCGUUAGCUUCGUUACUAAGGAAGUUUCCUUCCCCAACAACCAGUUGACAUCGUUUAGGGCGUGGACUAC
rnacentral:misc_RNA from 1 species